UACGUAGGGUGCAAGCGUUAUCCGGAAUUAUUGGGCGUAAAGAGCUUGUAGGCGGUUUGUCGCGUCUGCUGUGAAAAUCCGGGGCUCAACCCCGGACUUGCAGUGGGUACGGGCAGACUGGAGUGUGGUAGGGGAGACUGGAAUUCCUGGUGUAGCGGUGGAAUGCGCAGAUAUCAGGAGGAACACCGGUGGCGAAGGCGGAUCUCUGGGCCAUUACUGACGCUGAGGAGCGAAAGCGUGGGGAGCAAACAGG
rnacentral:rRNA from 1 species